rnacentral:rRNA from 1 species
UGAGGAAUAUUGCGCAAUGGACGGAAGUCUGACGCAGCCACGCCGCGUGCAGGAAGACACCCCUCAGGGGCGUAAACUGCUUUUGUACGGGAAGAACACCUCCCCUCGGGGAGGCCUGACGGUACCGUACGAAUAAGGACCGGCUAACUCCGUGCCAGCAGCCGCGGUAAUACGGAGGGUGCAAGCGUUAUCCGGAAUCACUGGGCGUAAAGGGCACGUAGGCGGUCUAGUAAGUCCGAUGUUAAAGCGUGGGGCUCAACCCCAUCACGGCGUUGGAUACUGCUAGGCUUGACGACUGGAGAGGUGAGUAGAAUUACCAGUGUAGCGGUGGAAUGCGUAGAUACUGGUAGGAAUACCCAUUGCGAAGGCAGCUCACUGGACAGUACGUGACGCUGAGGUGCGAAAGUGUGGGGAGCAAACCGGAUUAGAUACCCCCGUAGUCC